rnacentral:rRNA from 1 species
UGGGGAAUUUUGGACAAUGGGGGAAACCCUGAUCCAGCCAUCCCGCGUGUGCGAUGAAGGCCUUCGGGUUGUAAAGCACUUUUGGCAGGAAAGAAACGUCAUGGGUUAAUACCCCGUGAAACUGACGGUACCUGCAGAAUAAGCACCGGCUAACUACGUGCCAGCAGCCGCGGUAAUACGUAGGGUGCAAGCGUUAAUCGGAAUUACUGGGCGUAAAGCGUGCGCAGGCGGUUCGGGAAGAAAGAUGUGAAAUCCCAGAGCUCAACUUUGGAACUGCCUUUUUUACUACCGGGCUAGAGUGUGUCAGAGGGAGGGUGAAUUCCGCGUGUAGCAGUGAAAUGCGUUGAUAUGCGGAGGAACACCGAUGGAGAAGGCAACCUCCUGGGAUAACACUGACGCUCAUGCACGAAAGCGUGGGGAGCAAACAGG